CAUUUAGGGCUUAUCUCCCAGUCUGUCAGGGACUCCAAACUCCAGAUGACAAACUGGCCGUCUGAUACCAUGUCAACAGAUCCCUCUGAAGCCUCCCAGCCGAUUCCAUCAUGAUCUCCUGGAACAGUGCAGUUCACCGAUACUGGAUCUCCAUAUCUCACCACCACUGUGAGAGGCUGGAUCACCAGUGGACAUUCACUAGAAUCUUCAUCGCAGACAAUGGUCUGCAAGAGCAACAGGAUGCCAAGCAGCUGCCCAGAUCCCAUCGUUUCCACCUUGAAAGACUGAAGGCCGAUGACCUGCUUCUGGAUUAUUAGGGUCGUUUCUGACAGUUCAAUCUGGGGAUGCGCUCUGGCAGUUGUGCUUCUAGAUAAUGCAGAUCUGACGGUCCUCUCAAAAGAUUCAGCAGUCGCUCUCUGAUGGAAAUGCUUUUCUU